AUGAGAAAAAUGAAACUUCCUGCAAUUUCUCUGUGUGCGUCUCCCUCAGCCCCACUCCCCUUCCAAAUAACUUUUGAACCCUUUGGUCAGUUUUGGCCCUGUUGGAUCAGGAGGUUACACUGCAGGGAGUUGAGAUGAGCAGUUGGUAAGAGGAGAGAGUCUCCAUGAACAUCCCACUGGAGAGGAGUCUGUGGCUCAGCACCAGAAGAUUCAUACGGAAAAGGGACGUGAAUGCUCCAGCACACAGCUCUCUGCUGGGACAGCAGCACAGACACAGAAUGACUGAGAUGACAUGGAUGAUGCUACUUGUACUGUACCUCGUUCACCCUUCUUUGGAAUGACAACAAACACUGAGUCCUCAGCACUAGCAAGUAUGUACAGUGCCAGAAGUUUGGUUCCUACAGUGAAAGUCUGAAGAAAAAAAGAGAAGGAAAUCAGCAAUUACUGCAUUUGUGUGUAUGUCUUUGAAAUAAGGAAAUCAUGUCUUAAAGAAACAUUCACAUAUUAAUUAAAAUCCUCGAUUCUAAGACAAAUACAUCUUUAUUCUAUCAAGGACUAAUAGAAAUGUUAAAACAGUACUAAUAAAAUAUGAGACAUCAGAAUUACUGAAAA